rnacentral:rRNA from 1 species
GAUGAACGCUGGCGGCGUGCCUAACACAUGCAAGUCGAGCGGCAGCGCGGGGUGCUUGCACCCUGUCGGCGAGCGGCGGACGGCUGAGUAACGCGUGGGAACGUGCCCCAAAGUGAGGAAUAACUGCCCGAAAGGGUAGCUAAUACCGCAUAUUAUCUUCGGAUCAAAGGAUUUAUCCGCUUUGGGAGCGGCUCGCGUCGGAUUAGGUAGUUGGUGAGGUAAUGGCUCACCAAGCCGACGAUCCGUAGCUGGUCUGAGAGGAUGACCAGCCAGACUGGAACUGAGACACGGUCCAGACUCCUACGGGAGGCAGCAGUGAGGAAUCUUCCACAAUGGGCGAAAGCCUGAUGGAGCAACGCCGCGUGCAGGACGAAGGCCUUCGGGUUGUAAACUGCUUUUAUAAGUGAGGAAUAUGACGGUAACUUAUGAAUAAGGGUCGGCUAACUACGUG